GACAGAGGCCUCGAGCGUUAGGCGGAAUCACUGGGCUUAAAGCGUGUGUAGGCGGAUGCCUAAGUACCUUGUGAAAUCCCACGGCUCAACCGUGGAACGGCUGGGUAUACUGGGCGUCUUGAGCCAGCUAGGGGCGACCGGAACAAACGGUGGAGCGGUGAAAUGCGUAGAUAUCGUUUGGAACGCCUGUGGUGAAAACGGGUCGCUGGGGCUGUGCUGACGCUGAGACACGAAAGCCAGGGGAGCAAACGGG
rnacentral:rRNA from 1 species